UACAGAGGUCUCAAGCGUUGUUCGGAUUCAUUGGGCGUAAAGGGUGCGUAGGCGGCGCGGUAAGUCGGGUGUGAAAGCCCGGGGCUCAACUCCGAAACUGCAUUCGAUACUGCCGUGCUUGAGGACUGGAGAGGAGACUGGAAUUUACGGUGUAGCGGUGAAAUGCGUAGAUAUCGUAAGGAAGACCAGUGGCGAAGGCGGGUCUCUGGACAGUUCCUGACGCUGAGGCACGAAGGUCAGGGGAGCAAACGGG
rnacentral:rRNA from 1 species